rnacentral:sRNA from 1 species
GCGUUUCAGGUGGCCCUUGGGCGAAAGUACUGACGACAGACCAGAAGCGGGAAGCCGUGGUGUUGAUGUGCGAUGUAAUCGGUCUGCCGCUACGAAGCGC